CUAGCUUCUCUUCUUCCCCAG
rnacentral:miRNA from 1 species